AGAAUAAGCACCGGCUAACUACGUGCCAGCAGCCGCGGUAAUACGUAGGGUGCAAGCGUUAAUCGGAAUUACUGGGCGUAAAGCGUGCGCAGGCGGUUGUGUAAGACAGAUGUGAAAUCCCCGGGCUCAACCUGGGAAUUGCAUUUGUGACUGCACGGCUAGAGUGUGUCAGAGGGGGGUGGAAUUCCACGUGUAGCAGUGAAAUGCGUAGAUAUGUGGAGGAA
rnacentral:rRNA from 1 species